rnacentral:rRNA from 1 species
GACGUAGGGCGCGAGCGUUGUCCGGAUUUAUUGGGCGUAAAGAGCUCGUAGGCGGCUUGUCGCGUCGAAUGUGAAAACUCGGGGCUCAACUCCAGCUUGCAUUCGAUACGGGCAGGCUAGAGUUCGGUAGGGGAGACUGGAAUUCCUGGUGUAGCGGUGAAAUGCGCAGAUAUCAGGAGGAACACCGGUGGCGAAGGCGGGGUCUCUGGGCCGAUACUGACGCUGAGGAGCGAAAGCGUGGGGAGCGAACAGG